AUCAAAACAAUAAGUGAAAUUGAAAAGUUUUAUGUGAAGAAGAACGAACACAAGACCAAAAACUGCAAGAUUAGCGUGACAACAAUAUGGAUAAUCCAUCUGUAUUGAACUCCAUCAUUGAACGUCACAUGUUUCUGAAUGUAAGCACCUGAAGAUGGGCAAAAGCCUGAAACCGGUCGUGCUGUAAAUAAAUACCUUCAAUUGUGA